rnacentral:rRNA from 1 species
CCUACGGGUGGCAGCAGUGGGGGAUAUUGCACAAUGGGGGGAACCCUGAUGCAGCGACGCCGCGUGGGUGAAGGAGCGUUUCGGCGCGUAAAGCCCUAUCGGCAGGGAAGAAGAUGACGGUACCUGACCAAGAAGCCCCGGCUAACUACGUGCCAGCAGCCGCGGUAAUACGUAGGGGGCAAGCGUUAUCCGGAUUUACUGGGUGUAAAGGGAGCGUAGACGGCAGCACAAGUCUGGAGUGAAAUCCCGGGGCUUAACCCCGGAACUGCUUUGGAAACUGUGCGGCUGGAGUGCAGGAGGGGUAAGCGGAAUUCCUAGUGUAGCGGUGAAAUGCGUAGAUAUUAGGAGGAACACCGGUGGCGAAGGCGGCUUACUGGACUGUAACUGACGUUGAGGCUCGAAAGCGUGGGGAGCAAACAGGAUUAGAUACCCUAGUAGUC